rnacentral:rRNA from 1 species
ACGAACGCUGGCGGCGUGCUUAACACAUGCCAGUCGAACGGAAAGGCCCUGCUUUUGUGGGGUGCUCGAGUGGCGAACGGGUGAGUAACACGUGAGUAACCUGCCCUUGACUUUGGGAUAACUUCAGGAAACUGGGGCUAAUACCGGAUAGGAGCUCCUGCUGCAUGGUGGGGGUUGGAAAGUUUCGGCGGUUGGGGAUGGACUCGCGGCUUAUCAGCUUGUUGGUGGGGUAGUGGCUUACCAAGGCUUUGACGGGUAGCCGGCCUGAGAGGGUGACCGGCCACAUUGGGACUGAGAUACGGCCCAGACUCCUACGGGAGGCAGCAGUGGGGAAUAUUGCACAAUGGGCGGAAGCCCGAUGCAGCAACGCCGCGUGCGGGAUGACGGCCUUCGGGUUGUAAACCGCUUUCGCCUGUGACGAAGCGUGAGUGACGGUAAUGGGUAAAGAAGCACCGGCUAACUACGUG